GGCCCUGUGAUGGACUGGUGACCUGUCCAAGGUGAACCCUGCCUCUCAUUUUUUGACUGCUGGAGAUGGGCACCACUAGCCCCCCUCACCACCUUGCAAGGAUCAACGUGUUCAGAUCAUGGAUGGAAAGAUUUUAAGGCAAAGAAGACACUCAGAAAUGUCUUUCCACCCCAGGCAUCCAGUCCCAAUCAUCAUCAGUUCUGAUGUCACAUACAUAGCGAGUCCACAACGCUAUGCUAAAAUUGUUUCUGUAAAGUGUAGUCGUGCAGUGAAUAGGAAUGUUCUGUCGUUGAUCUUCACUGUUCUUAGGAAGGAGAAAUUUCAGUUUGUCUGGAGUAAUUCUGGAAUACUGAAUUAAAACAACACUCUGUCCUUGGUGAAAUAUUUUUCACAUGUGCUCUAAAGUGUACCUCUUGUUUUAUUGUGCUAAUUUUCAUAAGUAUGUUGUCUGUAAACUUUGAAUGUGUUGACAAUUUGUACAAUUCUAAGAUUCAAUUCAAGUAUUGGCAAUGUCCUCUUGAAAAAUGUGGGUAAGACUUUAUUUGAUGGG